UACGUAGGGGGCGAGCGUUGUCCGGAUUUAUUGGGCGUAAAGAGCUCGUAGGCGGUUCGAUAAGUCGGACGUGAAAUCUCCACGCUCAACGUGGAGGGGCCGUUCGAUACUGUCGUGACUCGAGUCCGGUAGGGGAGUGUGGAAUUCCCGGUGUAGCGGUGAAAUGCGCAGAGAUCGGGAGGAACACCCGUAGCGAAGGCGGCUGUCUGGGACGGUACUGACGCUGAGACGCGAAAGCGUGGGGAGCGAACAGG
rnacentral:rRNA from 1 species